UACGUAGGGGGCAAGCGUUGUCCGGAAUCAUUGGGCGUAAAGAGCGCGUAGGCGGCCCAGUAAGUCCGCUCUGAAAGUCAGGGGGCUCAACCCCUGAAUGCGGGUGGAUACUGCUGGGCUAGAGUCCGGAAGAGGCGAGUGGAAUUCCUGGUGUAGCGGUGAAAUGCGCAGAUAUCAGGAGGAACACCAAUGGCGAAGGCAGCUCGCUGGGACGUGACUGACGCUGAGACGCGAAAGCGUGGGGAGCAAACAGG
rnacentral:rRNA from 1 species